GUAGCAAAACUGUGAGAAAUUAAACAGGACGAUAAUUGGCUAUGUUAAAUUCCUGAGGAACAAAGAGGAGCACUAAUUAUUCUGCAGUGGUGACACACCACAGCUCAUUGGCAUGUGACACAAGGAAAGUCCAUCUCCCCACGCCGGCGCGCUGUCCUGAGGUGGUGCUUUGCACUGGAUUUUCCUCACGUGAAGGGUGGAUACAGGAGAUGGGGGGCGACUGCAGUGAGGGUGGGAGCAGCCGGUGGCUUAAUGGGGACAUGAGGGCCCGUGGCCUGCCAUGGCCUUGUGGGUAACACACGGGCGUGACACGCAGUGGUGACUCUAGGGAGAAGUGAGUUUAGUCAGGCCAGGCCAAAGCCACUCUGUCAUGUCCCCCAGCAAGCGCUUAGGUUGGGAAGGAUGUGGGAUGAUCAGAAGCAACAGAAACUAGAGCUGGGCACCAGUGGCUCCGGCUGUAACCCUGGCUACCAGUGAGGCUGAGGAUGGGAG